CCGAUCCCCUGAGUCUUGGCGCCAGUUUAGUCACCCUUCAAUUGCUCGGGAGGCAGGAAGAGACUUCCCCUCUUCACGAGGUAAGGGAGACAAAAGCAGCCAUUUGGAUGCCAGGGCCACAAAGGCAAGCCAUGCCCUGUUUCUUUGGGGGGACAGAAUCACUUCUUCCUGAGGCCAGACACUGUAGCCCAUGGUACUCAGCCUUCCAGAGGAGGGUAGCCUAGCAGUGGAGAAGCCCUGAGUGGAAGCAGCAUUUUGAAGGCAUCGUCAUUCUUAGACCAGUUAAGAGCUGAGGGCAUUCUCUAUCUUUGCCAGCAGACAGUGAGACUCCAGGAUUAAAAUUAAAAGCCUGUGGUGCAUCCUUUCCUUGACAUUAACUUUCCACAAAACCUUGGAGGAGUCAAAUCCCACACUGCACAUACCCUGGUAUCUCCAGCUGUGAAGUGGGACCAGUAUCAAUACAUGGGAAAGUGCUGAGAGGGAAGAAAAUAUUUCAGGUAUAAUACUAAUCCAUCAAACACGUUUUAUUCAAGAAGCUUGGCACCAACUUUGUGCCACAUCCUCAACUCUUCAAUGAAAACAGCGGUGACCAACUCACUCCCGUUGGUCUCUAUGGCAGGCGUUGGAAUGAGCUGAGGCUGUCCUCCUCUGUUUGGCUCACAGCUUUAUUCCUCUAGCUUCAGAUAAAAAUAAUUAUAAUAGGCAAUAAAGUCUCUUCACAGUGUAUUUACUGUAACUACAA
rnacentral:antisense_RNA from 1 species